CCAGCAGAAUGGUGACAAGGUUUUGAAGCAAAGGAGGGCACUUGACUCUAGGGCAGCCGUCCAUUAACUGACUAGCCCGGUGCCUGUGGAACAGAGUUGCGUGAGGAUUUUACCCUUUUGGAAUAAUCCAGUGACAAAACUGGAUACUAUUACUUUCAUUCCUUCCCCCGAUGCCAGGAGAUGGGUCUUCCUAUGUUGCCCAGGCUAGUGUGCAGUGGCUAUUCACAGGUGCAAUCACAGAGCAUACCUCGAAUUACUGGUCUCAACUGAUCCUUGAACACUCGGUCUCAGGUGCCUCAAACUCCUGGGCUUGAACUCCUGAUCUCGAAUAAUCCUGCUGCCUCAGCCUCCAGAGUAGCUGGGUCUACAGAUUUGAUAAAUGGUUGGUCCUUAUGAUCCACUGAUGCAGACUACUUGGGAGGUCCCAAUGUCCUGGUGCCCAAAGGCAAGAUCAUUUUUCCCCCUGCAGUGUUUCUGUCUAUCAUGAUGAUGUGAGUGGGCUCUUAUUGGGGGUGCCUAAUGCUGCCAUAAAGAAAGAGUUUUCUUGGC
ensembl:lncRNA novel transcript